rnacentral:lncRNA from 1 species
AUAACAACAGUGGACAAUGGUCAGAGGCAAUACGGGAUAAGUGUCUGACCUGGUAGGUGGGAAAACGGAUGAUCCAAUCGGGGCUCGCCAUAGCCCUAUCUAUCCGCUCCCAAACCCUAGUCAUACCAGACUGGUUGUUACACCACGUGAAUCGCGGUCCCGAGAAACCCAGAUCCACUAAGCCAUUCUGAGAUACAAAAUCCCGGAA